rnacentral:rRNA from 1 species
GUGGGGAAUAUUGGACAAUGGGGGGAACCCUGAUCCAGCCAUGCCGCGUGUGUGAAGAAGGCCUUUUGGUUGUAAAGCACUUUAAGCGAGGAGGAGGCUACCGAGAUUAAUACUCUUGGAUAGUGGACGUUACUCGCAGAAUAAGCACCGGCUAACUCUGUGCCAGCAGCCGCGGUAAUACAGAGGGUGCAAGCGUUAAUCGGAUUUACUGGGCGUAAAGCGCGCGUAGGUGGCCAAUUAAGUCAAAUUUGAAAUCCCCGAGCUUAACUUGGGAAUUGCAUUCGAUACUGGUUGGCUAGAGUAUGGGAGAGGAUGGUAGAAUUCCAGGUGUAGCGGUGAAAUGCGUAGAGAUCUGGAGGAAUACCGAUGGCGAAGGCAGCCAUCUGGCCUAAUACUGACACUGAGGUGCGAAAGCAUGGGGAGCAAACAGGAUUAGAUACCCUAGUAGUCC